UACGUAGGGUGCAAGCGUUGUCCGGAAUUAUUGGGCGUAAAGAGCUCGUAGGCGGUCUGUCGCGUCUGCUGUGAAAACUCAGGGCUUAACCCUGAGCUUGCAGUGGGUACGGGCAGACUAGAGUGCGGUAGGGGAGACUGGAAUUCCUGGUGUAGCGGUGAAAUGCGCAGAUAUCAGGAGGAACACCGGUGGCGAAGGCGGAUCUCUGGGCCAUUACUGACGCUGGAGGAGCGAAAGCGUGGGGAGCAAACAGG
rnacentral:rRNA from 1 species